UACGUAGGGUGCAAGCGUUGUCCGGAAUUACUGGGCGUAAAGCGCACGUAGGCGGAUAUUUAAGUCAGGGGUGAAAUCCUGGAGCUCAACUCCAGAACUGCCUUUGAUACUGAGGAUCUUGAGUUCGGGAGAGGUGAGUGGAACUGCGAGUGUAGAGGUGAAAUUCGUAGAUAUUCGCAAGAACACCAGUGGCGAAGGCGGCUCACUGGCCCGAUACUGACGCUGAGGCACGAAAGCGUGGGGAGCAAACAGG
rnacentral:rRNA from 1 species